ACGUAGGGAGCGAGCGUUGUCCGGAUUUACUGGGCGUAAAGGGCGCGUAGGCGGUCUGUUAAGUGUGAAGUGAAAUCUCCAGGGCUCAACCCGGAAACUGCUUCGCAUACUGGCAGACUUGAGGAAUGCAGAGGUAAGUGGAAUUCCUGGUGUAGCGGUGAAAUGCAUUGAUAUCAGGAGGAACACCAAUGGCGAAGGCAGCUUACUGGGCAUUAUCUGACGCUGAGGCGCGAAAGCGUGGGUAGCAAACAG
rnacentral:rRNA from 1 species